UACGGGGGGGAGCAAGCGUUGUUCGGAUUUAUUGGGCGUAAAGGGCUCGUAGGCGGUCUGUUGCGUCGGGAGUGAAAACUCAGGGCUUAACCCUGAGCCUGCUUCCGAUACGGGCAGACUAGAGGUAUGCAGGGGAGAACGGAAUUCCUGGUGUAGCGGUGAAAUGCGCAGAUAUCAGGAGGAACACCGGUGGCGAAGGCGGUUCUCUGGGCAUGAUCUGACGCUGAGGAGCGAAAGUGUGGGGGAGCGAACAGG
rnacentral:rRNA from 1 species